UUAGGCUUCCAUCUAGAGUUUUGAAGAUUGCUCAACUACAAAAAUUUAAUUCGAGUUAGGGUUUCAGGUUCUGGGUAAGUUUGAAGAUUGCGUUUGCUAGUGAUUGUUCUGUCCAGAGUUUGAAGCUUGCUCAAACAACGAGACUGUAAUUCGAGUUAGGGUUUCAAAUUAGUUUGGAUUUCAAAAUUGAGUUGGGGGUCAUGUAUAUGAUUUGCAAGAGCAAAGGAUAAUGCAGCCGUUACAGAAGGUUCCGUCGUCAUAAUCGAUUGAAAAGAUAAGUCAUAUUUCAUCUUUUCAUUGCAACUUUCGAUUAAGAAAUUUAUAUCUUUGCGCCUCUCUCUCGUUCACCACCAUCUAUUUUCUCUGUGUUGAUUGCAAAAGGGUUUUUCGUCGAUUAGUGUUUAGGGUUCUGGUAUUUCUCUGAAGUUUCAAUUGGGGUUUUUGGUAAAGGGGGUUUCUUAUAGUUUCAAUUGGUAAAGGGGGUUUCUUUGAUUAUAAAUAGGGUUUUGUUUCCUUUCUUGUAGUUUCAAUUUGAGAAUUGAUUUCUUAUUUUUCCAGCUGUUGGAUUCGUUUUUGGUAUUUGAGGCAGGGGGUUUUGUCGUUUGAAGAACUGUGGUUGGUUUCUUCAAUAUUCAUCUCUUAGAAGCAGCUUUUGAAAUCGUUUUCGGGGAUUCUUGAUUGAAGCUUUGUUUGGUUCAUUUGUUUUCCUAUCUCCUUUUCUGAGAAGCAGCAGUUUGAAUCAUUUUCGAGAUUUCUUUGUCAUUCUUUUGGUUUGGCUUCAUUGGUGCUGGGUAAUUUUGUGUUUGAAGAAUUGUUUUAGGGAAGAAGAGGCUUUGUAUUUCAAUUCAGUUUAGCAGAAGUUGAAUUCAUUUUGGGUGUAAUUCUUUGGGUCUUUGUUUAGUAGUUUCUUCAAGUUUGCUAUAAAGGUUUUGUGUGUUGAGGUGGAGUGUUUGGUAGACCGAAGUUAAAGGUUUUUCUUGUAAGCUUUGAAGCAGUUGCAGAGGGUUUCAGUAUAGAAGAAGUGGAUUGUAGAAGCAGUGUGUUUGCUUUUGUGUAGUGUUUAAUAAGGGUUCACGAUUCAGUCAAGUUAUUGCAUUUUGCUUCCAAUUAGUGUUUUAAUGAAUGAUAUUGUAAGUUUUCAGUUGGGUUUGUCUACCUGAUUUGAACUCUUAAUCUCUCAUUCCUUGAUUCCUAAUUUUUAUGGUGUAGUUAUUUCUU